rnacentral:rRNA from 1 species
UACGUAGGGGGCAAGCGUUGUCCGGAAUCAUUGGGCGUAAAGCGCGUGUAGGCGGCUUGGUAAGUCUGGUGUGAAAACUUGGGGCUCAACCCCAAGCGGGCAAUGGAUACUGCCUCGCUCGAGUCCGGGAGAGGAGAGCGGAACUCCCAGUGUAGCGGUGAAAUGCGCAGAUAUUGGGAAGAACACCGGUGGUGAAGGCGGCUCUCUGGAACGGUACUGACGCUGAGACGCGAAAGCGUGGGGAGCGAACAGG